rnacentral:rRNA from 1 species
AAUUUGAUCUGAAAUCAGGCGGGAUUACCCGCUGAACUUAAGCAUAUCA